rnacentral:tRNA from 1 species
GGUCCCAUCGUCUAGUCUGGUCUAGGACGCCGCCCUUUCACGGCGGUAACACGGGUUCAAAUCCCGUUGGGACCG